GGUAAACAAGGGUAGUUUUUUUGACACCCUGUUGAUCUCUGCUGGAAAAGUAAGAAGACAUCAGAAGAUUUUUCAAAAUAUGAUCAGGCAGCAUUCUAAAGCCUAAAGACACCGACUGUUCCACUCUGUCUCGUUGCCUUUGUUCCCACACAAUAAAGAACAUGGAGAAGUUGAGAAGAUCUGGGUAUGGCAGACACCAAGACAAGAUGCCUGUUUCCAGCGAUACACUGUUGAAUGCUGCAAUUCUUGACAGUGAUUCAGAAACUGAGAUUGAUGACCAU